rnacentral:rRNA from 1 species
AUGAUUCGCGGUGGCAUGGGCGGCAUGGGUGGCGGUGGCAUGGGCGGCAUGGUGGCGGUGGCAAGCGGUGGCAUUGGUGGCAUGGGUGGCAUCGGUGGCUUCGGAGCUACCAUGGGCGGCAUGGGUCCCGUGGGUGGCUUUGGAGCUACCAUGGAGACCAUGGGAGGCAUGGGUGGCUUCGGAGCACCUCCGGGCGGCAUGGGCGGCAUGAGUUUUGCGUCUCUCAGGGGAGGCAUGGGAGCACCUUUGGGCGGCAUGGGCGUAAUGUCUUCCGGUGUGCCUCACACACCUUCGCAUGAUGCCGUUGAAGAUCUUUCCAACACCUUCCGAGCUUGA